UAGACUUCUUAUGACGUCGGACGGAUC
rnacentral:piRNA from 1 species